rnacentral:tRNA from 1 species
GACCUGGUAGCCAAGUAGUAAGGCCGGGGUCUGCAAAACCUCAAUACGCGGGUGCAAUUCCCGCCCAGGUCU